ensembl:snRNA U6 U6 spliceosomal RNA
UGCUCACUUUCAGCAGCAAUGUACUAAAACUGGAACAAUACAGAAGUUAGCCCCUGUGCAAGGAUGACACACAAAUUCAUGAAGCUUCCAUGUUAAAA